UGUCCUUUUGAUUAUAAUUUAAGGUCUAAUCUGCCCACUGAAGCAUUUUAAAUGGCCGCGGUAUUUUGACCGUGCAAAGGUAGCAUAAUAAUUAGUUUCUUAAUUAGAAGCUGGAAUGAAAGAUUGAAUGAGAAAAUGACUGUCUCAAAUUAAUUUAUUUAGAAUUUUAUUUUUAAGUUAAAAAGCUUAAAUGAUUUUAAAAGACGAGAAGACCCUAUAGAGUUUAAUUAAAAUUUAAAAAUUAGAUUUAUAGAUUUAAAAUUUUUAAUUUUUAAAUUUUAAUUUUGUUGGGGUGACAAAAAAAUUUAUUAAACUUUUUUUAUAUUUAAACAUUAAUAAAUGAAUUUUUGAUCCAAAAAUUUUGAUUAUAAGAUUAAAUUACCUUAGGGAUAACAGCGUAAUUUUUUUUAAGAGUUCUUAUCGAAAAAAGAGAUUGCGACCUCGAUGUUGGAUUAAAGUAUAAUUUUGGUGUAGAAGCUAAAAAAUUAGGUCUGUUCGACCUUUAAAACUUU
rnacentral:rRNA from 1 species